CACCUGCACUGCAUUGGCAAUCAAGGCCCUUGAAGAAGCUAGCAGCCCUCAAUCUCAGAGCCUGAGUAUUGUCUUCACUCCUGAGUGGUACAGAUGCUUUUUCUGACUUUCUCCUUGGAUAAGUGCUUGUGACUUUUUUGCUCCUUGUGAUUCUUUGCAUGUCUUCUCACUUCCCUCUUCUCUGCUUCUCCACAGUGUCUCCAGCCCACACAACAGCCAGACAGCCAACCGGACUUUCUAUCGUACCUUUUUCCCCCUGAGCUUGGACAUUAAAAUUACAUCUUUUAACUGGCUAUCUGUCUCUGCGUCUGCUUCUGGGUCCACAAAAUACACCACACGCCACACCUCUUCCAGUUUAGGGGCGCACGACACAUUGGAGUCUACGAGAGCCAGCGAACUUUCUGCUCUUUUUUCAGCAGAGGCAGCCUUUCUUGGUGGAUUAGUAUUCAUUUCUGGGGCGCAAAUGUC